CCCUUAGAUGUCCUGGGCCGCACGCGCGUUACACUGAUGCAUUCAACGAGCAUAUAACCUUGGCCGAGAGGCCUGGGUAAUCUUGUUAACAUGCAUCGUGAUAGGGAUAGAUUAUUGCAAUUAUUAAUCUUGAACGAGGAAUUCCUAGUAAUCGCAGUUCAUCAAACUGCAAUGAUUACGUCCCUGCCCUUUGUACACACCGCCCGUCGCACCUACCGAUUGAAUGGUCCGGUGAGGACUCGGGAUUGUGGUUUAGCUCCUUCACUGGGGCCUGACUGCGAGAACUUGUCCGAACCUUAUCAUUUAGAGGAAGGUGAAGUCGUAACA
rnacentral:rRNA from 1 species